UUCCAAUUUCUCCAUAGUGCCUCUUCUUAUCUCCUCCAGAACUUACGUGUAUUAGAAUUUAUGGCUCUGUUGCUUUAGGACUUAUGACUGUAUUACUUUUCAGGGUAUUUUUCAUAAGCCAUCUUGUAUUAUUAUUUGCCUUUGUUAUGUAUGUAUUUGCAGGCUUAUUACCCUAAUUGGUUGUGACCUUUUGUGAUGAGACACAUGGUUCCUGCCCUCAAGAGGAUCAACUUUGGAGAAAGAUAUAGACAAUCAUGUCAGAUAGUGUGAGAACAAGCACUGAAAGCAAAUUUAUUGUUAAAAUGUGGAGGAGGAGCUCCUCAUUCAACCUGCGUUAAAGAGGAAGUACUUCUCAACAAAUGUAAAGCCAAGGGGAGUCUUAAAGAACCAGUACUGGAAUUGGCCAAGAACCUAGAAAUUACCAUUUUCUGUCUGGAUGAAUUUGAGCACUCAAGGUGAAUGGCACCCUUCCUUAAGUUCCAAGUUCUUGGAUCUCAAAAGGAAGAUGUUAAGAGAAGAGGUAGCCAGCUGUGCUCCUGGUGCCGUGCCAGCAGGAAGUUCCCUUUGGACUGGGCUGCAUACAUCAUAAUAGCAACGUGAUGACUCCAGCAACAGUAUGAAAAACAGGUCUUUGGAAGUGGUGGAAACAUAUGUUUCGUGAAAAAAAGGCUGGAACUUGCAGAUACCACGCGGCCACGCCCCAUUCUUGUGCCACAGAAGACUGCUCAUUGGACAAGACCCUCCGCCCGUUGAGUCCAGGUGGUCGGUAACGCUUCUCCGCCAAGUGCCUCAGCAGACACCGACAAGCAGAGCCGGUACAGGAGAUGAAACCCACCUCCUCCCUUGUCCUCGCCUGGCUCAAUCUCUCCAACAUGGAGCCAAGGAUUUGGAUUGUCUCUGAGAUCUUUCUUUCCUCUCAUUUUCUAAACAUCACUACACAAUGUUUCCCAUCCCCGCCCCUCCUUGGUUACCAGUUAGUAUCCGGGGCUACCAACUCCCGGCCAAGACCACAAAUUUAAGAAUUGGAAUUAUGGGAGUGUGGCAGAAAAGGCACAGGCUGUGAACUCAGACAGACUUGACUUAAAUCCUUGCUCAAAUUAUGUGACUGCAAAUCACUACCUGUCAUAUUACCUUCAAAUCACCUGACUUGGACAUGUUACCUGACAAUCUGAGUUCCUGUUUCCACAACUGUAAAUGAUGAAAAUAAUACCUCCCUUGCAGGAUUUAGAGUCUAGAUAGUUUACAUAAAAUUUGGUACAUAGUAGUUGGU